rnacentral:lncRNA from 1 species
AACAAUAAAGAAUUGGUGGUUCCCAAUCUUGUUUUGUUGCUGUAAAUAAUGGCAUAUGAUUAGUUAGGCAUUGUAAAUAACAACAAAGAAUUGUCGGAUAAAAAAAUAAAAGGACAUGUUCUGAGAACAUUUGGGACUGAAUGUCAUAAAUAAGAGACAUAACUAGUAUGGUGGAUCAUUAAGCUACAAGUCUUUCAAUCUUCAAUGUAAUGGAGGGCAUUUGAAGCACCUAUAAUAGGUUGGUGCUGAAUGGGACUUUUCCCACCAUCACAGGUACAUUGAUUUGAUUAGGUGUUCCAGCCAGUAUCCUAGUGGCACCUUCAAUCCUGGAAUCAGUUAAAAAACAAAAUGCAAGUUAAGAUAGAUCUACUGAAUAAAAGCAUAUAAGGCUAAUUCAUCCCUAAGUUUGAAGACAUGCAACAAGAUAAUAACUCGAAUAAACUUAGAAAAAGAAAAAAAAUCAUAAUGUCAUCUAGGAAGAACGAUGGAACGUACAUUUGGUUCCAACUAGAUUUAUUGAGCAACUUCAUCGAUUAUGAAGUCUUGUUCGUAGACGCAAGCUUGUAUAAUGCUGUAUAAAAUCCACUGUAGCAAUCCCAUCAAUAAAAGACAUGAAAAUUGCGAUGAUGGAUUCAAGUUACAGAUGAAUGUUCAGCACGCUAUGAGACUUUAGUGCCUGGGGCAAGUAAUGAUUCAGUUUCACAGGAGAGAUCUUUGAAAGAAUCUUUCAAGACGAAUAUUGUCAUACUAAUUUUUCCCCAGACAUUGAAAGAAAAAAAUGGUCUCUCUUUUUUGUGUCAUUCAUUCUUACUGAAGUCAUAUAAGUCCACCACCAAAUUGUUGGAAUGUCCACUUGUAUGAAUCCCUACAAGCACAACUAGAUUCAUUUGGAUGGGAUAAAAUUUCAAGAACACAACUGAAUCAUAAUGUAACCUGAGGUGCCAAGGCAUCCUUUAUACCUUGUCCCGAGUGCCAACUAAACUGGAUGCGUGCCAAGAGUGUUUCAUUAGAGGGAGGUGCACAAGUAUACAAGCCCAAAACAGGAGACAUAACGGAAUCUUUCAUCUUUCGUUCCAGAAGAGCCUUCCUUCUGAAUAGCUAUCGAAAAGUUACAUAUUUACUACGUUGGCUUUUCCUUUUAACAUUGGCAUUUUUGUAUUUUUAUCUUGAAAGAUCUUUCAUCACAUAAUGACCUAUCCAAAAACUUUGACGAGUUUAAAAAACUGACAGGUUGAUGAUAAUAAUUUCAAAGGGAUAGAUCAUUCAACUAGAACACCUUGUUGAGGCUACUAGGCAACUCCAAACCUCCUUUUACAAAGGCUAGAUUAAGUAAUACUUUGGAUGUGCAUCCAAGAACAAGGACCACCUGGUGGACCUAAAUUUUAAAAAAGCUAAAUGGUGCAUCUCUAAUAGAGGACUAGGGUCUUAAGGAAUGAGUCAACUGACGUAGAUCUUCUGCCAUUAGAAAUGAGAAGAAUGAUUGGAAUCCAGCGGAAAAGUAGGCAACUCUGCGAUGGGACAAUAACGCUAUUUACAUACUUGAGACUUCUCAUGACAGCAAAAGGAGCUAAAUGGGUAACAGAUUAAACACUAAAAAGUUCCAGUGCAUUCAGAAAAGAUAUGUCAUCUUGGAUAGCAUCUAUGCAUCACUUUCAGUCAUUUGGAUAUAGAUAUGUUUGCAAGAACUGCCUAACAGGUUUUAUCAUCAUGUAAAACUAUUAGAUUAUCAAGCAAGAGAGGAUGGUAAUACAAGUCUUGUCAUCAUCUAAGAGAGCUAGCUGUGGCCUUAUUGCUUAUGGCCCAGAUUAGAAAUGAAGCAUGCAUGCCUUUCUGCACCUAUGUUGAACAAGAAGUGUGCCAGAAGGUUUGAGCAGAAUGAUAUCAAUCAUGCUGCACAAAUUCUGCCCAUAUCAGUAAUUCUCUGAUCAAGAACAGCUCUUAGUAAAGGUUUUCUGAAAUUCAUUCAAGGUGCUUUUCUGAAACUUAAUUUAGUAUCUAAAGGAGCUAGAAAGAUGGAAUACCCAUGAGUUACCUAUUGAAAGAAAGAAUGGUACUUAGGCCUGCGGUUCUGGAUUCUAUAAGAAAAUGUGGGAUGGAUUAAAAAGUGUUUCUCAAUCGUAUCUCUAGAAGAAGAAAAGGAUGGUGACGGUUAAACUGGUUGAGCUGCUGUUGCCUCUUUAUCAUGGUAUUCUCAGAAAAUGAUUCAAACUUACCUGAAUCAGAAACUUGUCAAGAGUUUUAAGGCAUUUUUUGAUCGAAGUUUCAGGCAUUUAUCAUGCAAAUUUAUGUGAGUUUUUGUAAAGGUAAAAAUCAUCACUAAUUUGCUCAAAGAAAAAAGGUUCUCACCUCACUAAUAAAGCAAGCUAGUGGAUACAAAAUAUUGGUCGUAGACUAGUAGAUGGAAGGGCAUGCAUUAUCUUUCGUCAGUGGCCAACUAGUACUAAUUACCAAGUUUUCUGUCAUUUAUCUGUCACUGCAGUCAUGACCAACUUCACCAGGCUCUGGAGCCUGUGCCAUGAUUUUUCUCCUGAAAAAGAACGAGAAAGAGAGAACAAGAUUUUUGUCAAUCGAUGACUUGGAUAGAAAGACUGAAAUUGAGGCUCAAAGAUCUUUCAGAGUAAUGAAAAUGAAGGAGAAAAACUAAUUGUUUUGGAAAAUAAAUCUGGAGAUAACUUGUGAAGGGUGGAGAUCUUGGCAACUGUUUAACAACAAUAAUGUACUAAUUUAAGCUAAAGUUUUGAUCUGCCCAUUAAUCUACAAGCAUGCUUGCUGUUUGACAGAGAAAGAUAAUAAUUACUAAAGCAAACGUCUACAAUGAAAACUGAAAGGAUUAGCCUUGAAAGUGAUACCUGCACUAUAUCUUUUGACUAAACAGCUGUUGCAUUUCCUUUUGCUUUCAUGUUUUUCUUGGAGUUCCAGAUUCCUUACUUUUAGCACAAUGUUUAAUUGGCUAGAAUUACUCUUUUACAAAUACGUUUGCACUUUUCUAGUUCCUUCCUGAUGCCUUACUUUAGAAAUCAUAAUCUAAUUAAUACAUAUUAUAACUGAGAGUGGCUUAUGAGCUUGGCCUCACUUCAAGCACGAGCCGUUAUGCUUUACAGCAUUUGGUUGACUUGUAAUGUUGCCCGGAAACUGACAAACUGUGGACAAGGAAUGCUAGUUAUGCUCCACCAUGGUGGUGCAACCUAGCGUUUUUAAUUAAGUUGCCUAUUAUCAUUUCUACAUUUUAUGGGGACUUCCAUCAUCAGUACUUUGGAUUCUUUAAGUGUCUAUUUUGAAUUUGAAGAUGGCUUCCUAGCAUUCUAAUACCUGCUUACUGCCUUUUUGGCACCCCUUGUCCCCUGCCAUGGAGCGGUCUGCCCUUCCUCAAAGCGAUGCUGCACUCUUGGAGGUAAGCAAAAUGUGUUGUUGCAUCCACUGCUUCAGGAAACAUUCCCUAUAGUGCUACCUAACUUUAGAAAAGGAUGAGUAUAAAAAGAUGUACCCAAAAAAUUUGCAUCGAUGGUUAAGUAAUAUAACUGAAACAAAUGGAAGCCAUGUGCAUAUAAUCAUUCAUGAUCUGAGUUCUGCCACACUUUUAUAAUAUGAAACAUUAAAUAUUGAUGUAUAAAACUCGCUAAUAUUGGAUCGCAAACAUUCUGGUCCUACAUAGAUAUAUAAUGAAAAUAGGAGAAAUGAAUGACAGAAACAGUAGUCAUGUGCGUGCAUUGCUGUUCCUACAAUUGGUUCGGCUUGAGCCAUGACAAAUGAAAGAGUAAAGGCAGGUGCCUUACACUUCUGGCAAAUAUCAUGAUAAAAAUUAUAUACUCUUCUUUUAAAUCCAACAGUAUCAUGCAUCUAAAAUACAACAAAAUCAGUGUCGCCUAAAAAUAGAACAGUUCAAUCAAACAUGCACAAAACAAAUGAUUCAAGUGGAUCAUCAUAUUCGAUGUAGAGGUUAUUUUGACCACUAUAAAUAAAACUCGAUAUGAAGAUAUUUUGACUACUAUGAGUAUUCAAGAAGAUCACUGAACUCGAUGUGGAUCACUUAAACUACUAUAAGUAUUUAGCAAGCUCACGAGAUUCGAUGUGGAUCAUGUUGACCACUAUAGGCAUCCAAGAAAAUCACCAACCUCGAAAUGGAUCAUGUUAGCCAUUGCGGGCAUUUAGGAAGACCUCUAAACCCAAUACCGACCAGUUUGGCUAUUAAGAGCAGGGCUGAAUAGGAUUUAGGAGUAAGAUCUGCCAUAAUAGAAAAUUGAAUUGUAUAAAAAUCUUCAGAAAGUGAUAACAUGAUCAUACAAUGCUGGAUUGAGAUAAUCCUUUUUCUUUUAAAAAUCUAUAACUUUAGGCUAGCUCCUAAGGGAGUUGAAUUAGGCCAAAACUCAAUUGUUUGGACUUUAAAAUGUAUUUGAUCAAAUUAAAACUUUUCUUUUUUGAAAACAAAUUUGAUCAAAUAUUAUCUUCUAAUUCAUGAAGAAUUGGAUAGAGCCAUAGAAGACAAAGUUAGUAUAGAAGUUGAGAACUAUCUCACAUAAAAUUUUAAUAUUUUUUCAUAAAAUUUUAUAUUAAUCAUGUUUGUUUUUAGAAAGAAUUAGUCCUAUUCGAACUGGAAAGAAAAAUCUGACCCAAAUUAUUUAAAGAUAGACAUCGCAUCCAAAUCAUGCAAGGACAGAUGUCACAAUUAUAGAUA